rnacentral:sRNA from 2 species
CGCCAACUUCCGCUGAAUCUUCGCCUACAUAUCGCGAAGAGCGGGGGACCCAAUUAGUUGGGGCGAGUCGCCGGCGUCGGCCGGUGUAGCGCAGCUCUUUCAGCGCGAGCCCGUCAGCUAACCCCGCAAGCGCCUCGAAAGAGCAUGA